rnacentral:rRNA from 1 species
AUGAACGCUGGCGGCGUGCCUAAUACAUGCAAGUCGAGCGAACAGACGAGGAGCUUGCUCCUCUGACGUUAGCGGCGGACGGGUGAGUAACACGUGGAUAACCUACCUAUAAGACUGGGAUAACUUCGGGAAACCGGAGCUAAUACCGGAUAAUAUAUUGAACCGCAUGGUUCAAUAGUGAAAGACGGUUUUGCUGUCACUUAUAGAUGGAUCCGCGCCGCAUUUAGCUAGUUGGUAAGGUAACGGCUUACCAAGGCAACGAUGCGUAGCCGACCUGAGAGGGUGAUCGGCCACACUGGAACUGAGACACGGUCCAGACUCCUACGGGAGGCAGCAGUAGGGAAUCUUCCGCAAUGGGCGAAAGCCUGACGGAGCAACGCCGCGUGAGUGAUGAAGGUCUUCGGAUCGUAAAACUCUGUUAUUAGGGAAGAACAAAUGUGUAAGUAACUAUGCACGUCUUGACGGUACCUAAUCAGAAAGCCACGGCUAACUACGUG